CCCAUUACUAUACGGUUUUCUCCAUAUCUCCUACUCUCCUUAAAAAUCUCCAACAAAAUACUUUGUUAACUCUAUUUAUACUUUUCCUCCCACAAUCUCAACAACCUAUCGUUCCUGCAGUUUUCUUCCCUUCCAACAAAGUUGAGAGGAAAAAAAAAUCGAGCAGCCUGUCUGUGAACCCAAAUCCUCCCUGCAAAUCUCAAUUUGUUCUCCUCUUUCCAAAGGGUGAAUUUGUGCACGUUGUUUGCGGUGAGAACAGGAAGUGGUUUGAGGAGUUAAGCUUUCGAGGU